GACGAACGCUGGCGGCGUGCUUAACACAUGCAAGUCGAACGGAAAGGCCCUGCUUUUGUGGGGUGCUCGAGUGGCGAACGGGUGAGUAACACGUGAGUAACCUGCCCUUGACUUUGGGAUAACCUCAGGAAACUGGGGCUAAUACCGGAUAGGAGCUCCUGCUGCAUGGUGGGGGUUGGAAAUUUUCGGCGGUUGGGGAUGGACUCGCGGCUUAUCAGCUUGUUGGUGGGGUAGUGGCUUACCAAGGCUUUGACGGGUAGCCGGCCUGAGAGGGUGACCGGCCACAUUGGGACUGAGAUACGGCCCAGACUCCUACGGGAGGCAGCAGUGGGGAAUAUUGCACAAUGGGCGGAAGCCUGAUGCAGCAACGCCGCGUGCGGGAUGACGGCCUUCGGGUUGUAAACCGCUUUCGCCUGUGACGAAGCGUGAGUGACGGUAAUUGGUAAAGAAGCACCGGCUAACUACGUG
rnacentral:rRNA from 1 species